GACGAACGCUGGCGGCGUGCCUAAUACAUGCAAGUCGAGCGAAGUUUUUCUGGUGCUUGCACCGGAAAAACUUAGCGGCGAACGGGUGAGUAACACGUAAAGAACCUGCCUUAUAGACUGGGACAACUAUUGGAAACGAUAGCUAAUACCGGAUAACAGCAUUAACUGCAUGGUUGAUGUUUGAAAGUUGGUUUUGCUAACACUAUGAGAUGGCUUUGCGGUUCAUUAGCUAGUUGGUGGGGUAAAGGCCUACCAAGGCGACGAUGCAUAGCCGACCUGAGGAGGUGAUCCGCCAACCUGGGACUGAGACACGGCCCCGAAUCCCACGGGAGGCAAGCGUAGGGAAUCUUCCGCCAUGGGCCAAAGCCUGACGGAGCCACGCCGCGUGAGUGGAAAAGGAUUUCGGUUUCUUAAGCCCUGUUUUUAGGGAAGAAUGAUUGGGUAGUAACUAUACACAGUAGAGACGGUACCUAACCAGAAAGCCACGGCUAACUACGUG
rnacentral:rRNA from 1 species